rnacentral:rRNA from 1 species
UACGAAGGGGGCUAGCGUUGCUCGGAAUCACUGGGCGUAAAGCGCACGUAGGCGGCUUUUUAAGUCAGGGGUGAAAUCCUGGAGCUCAACUCCAGAACUGCCUUUGAUACUGAGAAGCUUGAGUCCGGGAGAGGUGAGUGGAAUUCCUAGUGUAGAGGUGAAAUUCGUAGAUAUUAGGAAGAACACCAGUGGCGAAGGCGGCUCACUGGCCCGGUACUGACGCUGAGGCGCGAAAGCGUGGGGAGCAAACAGG